AACGAACGCUGGCGGCAGGCUUAACACAUGCAAGUCGAACGCCCCGCAAGGGGAGUGGCAGACGGGUGAGUAACGCGUGGGAACGUGCCCUUCGCUUCGGAAUAUUCCCGGGAAACUGGGAGCAAUGCCGGAUACGCCGAAUUGGGAAAGAUUUAUCGGCGAAGGAUCGGCCCGCGUUAGAUUAGGUAGUUGGUGGGGUAAUGGCCUACCAAGCCUACGAUCUAUAGCUGGUCUGAGAGGAUGAUCAGCCACACUGGGACAGAGACACGGCCCAGACUCCUACGGGAGGCAGCAGUGGGGAAUCUUGGACAAUGGGCGCAAGCCUGAUCCAGCCAUGCCGCGUGAGUGAGGAAGGCCUUAGGGUUGUAAAACUCUUUCGCCGGUGAAGAUAAUGACGGUAGCCGGAGAAGAAGCCCCGGCUAACUUCGUGCCAGCCGCCGCCGUAAUAC
rnacentral:rRNA from 1 species